rnacentral:rRNA from 1 species
GUUGAGGGAGGAAGGCUCUUGGGUUGUAAACCUCUAACUUAGGGAAGAAGAAAGUGACGGUACCUAAUAUAAGCAUCGGCUAACUCCGUGCCAGCAGCCGCGGUAAUACGGGGGAUGCAAGCGUUAUCCGGAAUCAUUGGGCGUAAAGCGUCUGUAGGUGGCACUUCAAUUCUGCUGUCAAAGACCGAAGCUCAACUUCGGGUCGGCGGUGGAAACUGAAGAGCUAGAGUAUAUUAGGGGUAGAGGGAAUUCCUAGUGUAGCGGUGAAAUGCGUAGAGAUUAGGAAGAACACCACUGGCGAAGGCGCUCUACUGGGCAUAUACUGACACUGAGGGACGAAAGCUAGGGUAGCGAAAGGGAUUAGAUACCCCAGUAGUC